rnacentral:lncRNA from 1 species
GGUAGGGAUUAGACGCUUGAAAAUACUCAUGCUGGAAAUGAUCCUUUCAGCAACAAAUGGUGUCAAAAUUCAACCGAGUCUUCGAAUUUAAGCAUUACUUGAAGGCACUACAAUAUAUAAUGCAAAAAGUUCAUAAAUUAUAGCUCACACAAAGAAUGUAAGAAGUUAUCAACAGGAAAGUUCAACUAGAUAUAAAAACUAAAAAUAGCAGCUUUAUUAAGUAAAACAGUUCGUAUUUGCAAGCGGCAUCGUCACCAUAAAGUUGCUGUCUUGCCGCUGUUCAUCACUUGCUUAACCCAGAAAGGCUCAAAACCUAGUGGCAUUUUGUUAAAUAUAUCGUGAAAUGUGAGUUUCUCGGUCACGGGCUUACUAAGUUUUAGCACAACUGUUCGCAUUAGUUGCGCAAGAG